rnacentral:lncRNA from 1 species
GGGAAGCCAUAAUAAGCUUGUGUAGGCUUCUUGGAGUCCAAUAUGACAAGAUUGGUGUGUAUGACUGAGUAUGAGAAAGAGAAAUGUAACCCGGAUCCUGGUUGUUAAAGUACCGUAGAUGCAAAACAAAAAAAACUCAUAGGGACUUCGUCCUCACUUACAAAACUUGUGAAACCAUAAUAACCUUGUGUAGGGUUCUUUGAGUCCAAUUUGACACGAUUAGUGUGUAUGACUGAGUAUAAGAAAGAGAAAUGCAACCCGGAUCCUAGUUGUUAAAGUAGCGUAGAUGCAUAACAAAAAAACUCAUAGGGACUUCGUCCUCAAUUACAAAACUUGUGGAAACCAUAAUAAGCUUGUGUAAGGUUCUUGGAGUCCAAUAUGACAAGAUUGGUGUGUAUGACUGAGUAUAAAAAAGAGAAAUGCAACCCGGAUCCUGGUUGCUAAACUAGCGUAGAUGCAAAACAAAAAAACUCAUAGGGACUUCGUCCUCACUUACAAAACUUGUGAAAGCCAUAAUAACCUUGUGUAGGGUUCUUUGAGUCCAAUAUGACAAGAUUGGUGUGUAUGACUGAGUAUAAGAAAGAUAAAUGCAACCCGGAUCCUUGUUGUUAAAGUAGAGUAGAUGCAAAACAAAAAACCUCAUAGGGACUUCGUCCUCCCUUACAAAACUUGGGGAAGCCAUAAUAAGCUUGUGUAGGCUUCUUGGAGUCCAAUAUGACAAGACUGGUGUGUAUGACUGAGUAUAAGAAAGAUAAAAGCAACCCGGAUCCUGGUUGCUAAAGUAGAGUAGAUGCAAAACAAAAAAAACUCAUAGGGACUUCGUCCACCCUUACAAAACUUGGGGAAGCCAUAAUAAGCUUGUGUAGGCUUCUUGGAGUCCAAUAUGACAAGAUUGGUGUGUAUGACUGAGUAUGAGAAAGAGAAAUGCAAGCCGGAUCCUGGUUGUUAAAGUAGCGUAGAUGCAAAACAAAAAAACUCAUAGGGACUUCGUCCACCCUUACAAAACUUGGGGAAGCCAUAAUAAGCUUGUGUAGGCUUCUUGGAGUCCAAUAUGACAAGAUUGGUG